rnacentral:rRNA from 1 species
AUUGAACGCUGGCGGCAUGGCUAAAACAUGCAAGUCGAACGAUCCCUUCGGGGAGAGUGGCGAAAGGGCGAGGAAUAGAAUCGAAUGUACCCCAAGGUGGGGGAUAGCCUCUGGAAACGGAGGGUAAUACCCCAUGUGCUCUACGGAGGAAGGUUUACCGCCUUGGGAGCAGCGAUUCUCCUAUCAGGUAGUUGGUGAGGUAACGGCUCACCAAGCCGAAGACGGGUAGCGGGUGUGAGAGCAUGACCCGCCGCAUCGGGACUGAGACACUGCCCGGACUCCUACGGGAGGCUGCAGUAACGAAUCUUCCGCAAUGGGCGAAAGCCUGACGGAGCAAUGCCGCGUGUGGGAUGAAGCAUCUUCGAUGUGUAAACCACUGUCAGGGUCUAGGAAUACUGACCAGACCCAAAGGAAGGGACCGGCUAAUCCCGUG